CGCCUUUGUGUUGCCCAUUCACUUUUGGAAACUAGUGGAUGUGGUGUCAAAAAAGGCGAACACAAAACACUUUCGCAGCUUUUUUUCCUGCCCUUGUAUUUGAUGUCUUUGGUGUAGGAGCUGCGUAAGUAACAUAC
rnacentral:snoRNA from 8 species